rnacentral:rRNA from 1 species
AUUGAACGCUGGCGGCAUGCCUUACACAUGCAAGUCGAACGGUAACAGCUCUUCGGAUGCUGACGAGUGGAGAACGGGUGAGUAACAUAUCGGAACGUGCCCGAUCGUGGGGGUAAACGAAGCGAAAGCUUUGCUAUUCCCGCUUAGGAUCUACGGUUGAAGGCAGGGGACGGCAAGCCUUUGCGCGAAUGGAGCGGCUGGGGGCAGAUUAGGUAGUUGGUGGGGUAAAAGCUUACCAAGACGACGAUCUGUAGCUGGUCUGAGAGGACGACCAGCCACACUGGGAGUGAGACGCGGCCCAGACACCGACGGGAGGCAGCGGCGGGGAAUGGUGGACGAAGGGGGAAAGCCUGAUCCAGCCAUGCCGGGUGCAGGAUGAAGGCCCUCGGGUGGUAAACUGCUUUUGGACUGAACGAAAAGACUCUGGUGAAGACCUGGGGGCCAUGACGGUACCGGAAGAAGAAGCACCGGCUAACUACGUG